rnacentral:rRNA from 1 species
UACGUAGGGGGCUAGCGUUGUCCGGAAUCAUUGGGCGUAAAGCGCGCGUAGGCGGCCAGAUAAGUCCGGUGUGAAAGCCACAGGCUCAACCUGUGAAUGCCGCUGGAAACUGUCUGGCUAGAGUCCGGGAGGGGCGAGUGGAAUUCCCAGUGUAGCGGUGAAAUGCGUAGAUAUUGGGAGGAACACCAGUGGCGAAGGCGGCUCACUGGACCGGAACUGACGCUGAGGCGCGAAAGCGUGGGGAGCAAACAGG